CUUAAUGAGCCAGUAGUAUUUCGGGAACAUAAAGUUUGGAGACUUUAGGUAGUAUUUUCAUUAAAUAUGGAAUAUUAUUUAUUUGAAAGUAUAUUUUAGUUUGGGGUAUUGAUUGAGAUUUGAGUGUUAGGAUGAAUGAAUGAGGAAUGUCAACCACUAGUCAUAGUCAAACUGUUAGUCUUGGAUUGUUCAACAAGUUGUUUUUCUGGGAGAAUUUAGAGAUGAAAGCCUGUAAAGUAAAUGACCGAAAAAGAAAGUAUCCAUGAUUAGGUUAUAAAAUUUUUGCACUAGCAUUUUGUUGAGGAUUUCUGAACGUUCGCUGGAGACCGGAGUGAAGACGUUGAUGGUCAGUAACAAGCAUUUUCUGUGAUGGAUCAUGACUUGGAAAUAGAGAUGGAGGUUACUUGUAACCGAUGAUCAUAUAUGACCCCGAACUGUUGAAGAAUCUUUCGCAAUUUGUUUUUAGUGAAAUGUAAUAAAUGUGUAGUUGUUAGUUUUCGGUUUUUCGUAAGAUUUCCCCUUACGAAAAUUCAGUUAACACUGAAUUUUCGUAAUUUAAGCAUGGAGUGAUGUAACAGUUGGCCUGUUUGGCAAAAUUAUUUAUUUAUUUGUUUGAAUGUUAAAUGUUAUUUAUUUACAUUUUGCGAUAAAAUCCGUGUAGUCAAACUCCGCUUGCACUCUUCGGUAAACAUCUCUGUAGUAUUCACCACGGUAACUCAACCUGUUUUGGACCGAUUGCGUUAAGACCCGGAGAGAGACUCUUGAGAGAGAUGAGCCGAUAUUGAACUACCUCAGUGAGAGAACACCACAGCUAGACCCGAGAACACAGUGGCUAAAAAGGGAUGGGGAGUUCGCUACUUCUGUCGCACGCAGUUACCCAGAGAGCAUCUCAAGGAAUGACGUAAUUCCGGUCAAACCGCUUGAGCGUCCGUUGCGACCUUCCCUAUUCUGAGGACUCCAGGGCUCGUUCACUUUGUCCCCAGCUAUCAACGAGAGUGGAAGUGCGCGUUUUGUACCGCGAGUUUUUUGGCUUUUUGUACAAAAUUUUCCCGUAUAGUUAUUUUGUGUGUGCGCUAGCUAAAGUAAUUUGUCGUGUGCGAACAGGAGCUAGAAGGAGAAAAGGAGUUCGCCCGUUAGCAACAGCGCUAACCAUCCCGCAGCAGCACCAGUCCAGCAGCAGCGCGAACACACGAGCAGCAGAGCAGAGGAAAACGGAGACGAAGUUCCCCGCGCACCGUACUUCUCGUUGUCGCCGCACGUCACCAGGCGAAGCACGAGGACGAAGAGCGUGAGCGCACGCUAGGCGGCGAUCCGUCACCACAUCGCCCGGUGAAGUAGGGAGGGUCCCUGAACCACCACACGAGGACAGCGGAGAACGUUAGUCCCGGCCGGAGUCAACCCUAAGGCCGGAGCUUCCUGUCCGGUUGCGAGCACCUGACAGCCGCGGAACCGGGAAAAGUCCAGAACCGGCCCGAGCCACCCCGUAAGGCCGAGUCCCGCAUUCCGGUCAGCUGUUCAUCAGCUGACGGCCACGUGUCGUCCCUGAGCUGAGCAACCAGCCCAAGUAGCAGAGAACAACAGCAGCAACAAGAUCAUCAUUCGGUGAGUCCGUUCUAUUUGCACUUGUGGGAAGAAGCACGUCCCUAGCUGACGUAGCGAAGUUUUUGCCGGCCUAGUGCCGAGGCGGCAGACGCGAAUCCGCCCUUGACGGACGCGUCCAAAGUUUGAGGAGCGAACUUUAAUCCCACGUGUUUCGACGUCACACGUGGAUGACCCCCAAAAUCUAAACGCGCG